rnacentral:rRNA from 1 species
UACGGAGGGUGCGAGCGUUGUCCGGAAUCACUGGGCGUAAAGGGCGCGUAGGCGGCCUGAUAAGUAGGGGGGUGAAAUCCUGCGGGCUUAACCGCAGGGCUGCCUUCUAAACUGUCGGGCUAGAGCACGGUAGAGGCAGAUGGAAUUCCCGGUGUAGCGGUGGAAUGCGUAGAGAUCGGGAAGAACACCGGUGGCGAAGGCGGU